GGGUCUGAUCAUAUAUGCGCUCCGCAUGGAAAAUAGGCUUGCCAACAUAAUCAGCUAGGUUUGGUGAGUCCACGACCACUUUAUCUAUUGUUUUACUUGUUUCACUUUCUGUAGCUUCCUCAAUUUCCUGAGUAUCCUGUUAAGAUCACAACAACCGCAACCAAAGUUCAGUUGCAUGAUACAAUGGUCAUUAAAUACUUAAACAUAGAUUAUGUAAACCUGAAGUAUAAAUCAUGCAACGUUGUCCACUAGAAGCUUAACAACAACAACAUCAUACCCAGUUGGAUCUGGGGAGGGUAGAUUAUUCACUGGCAGCUUAAUUUGCAGAAUUCCAAAUCAUUUUCUUUCAGUACAAACAAAUAUGAGGGGAAAUAUAACAUCACACAUAUCGAAGUGUGUGUGCUGUAUUAUAAUGAAACAUGUUAACGCAAGCCAUUCAAACAUUUUGGCCCAACUAGCUAAAAUGAACGACUAUCAAGUAUUAAUUAGUCAGACUAAAGAAGCCUCCCCAUCCCCAAAGAAGUUGCUAUUAAACCACUAAUCUGAUUACAGUGCACAUUAAACGCUGGUCAUGCAUUGAAAACCUUUUUAAGAUAACAAGGCAUAAUUAAUCGUACAAAUGAAUACCAAGUGUUUUCCUUGCUGGUUUGGUGUUAUAUAAUUGUCAGAUGGGUGACUUAUUACAGUUCAUCUGUUAACCACAUUUAAUCAACAUGACACAAUAAGACAAGGUAUGAAAAGGCGACAUCUUCUGUGCAUACAAAAAUAACAUAUUUAUAUCCUAAGCUUAGAUAAAAGCCCUCAAAUACAUUGUAGCAUGCAUAACUGCAACCGGCAAGAAUCACAUGAAGUACAACAACAACAACAACAACAACAACAACAAACCCAGUGUAUUCCCACAUAGUGGGGUCUGGGGAGGGUAAGAUGUACGCAGUCCAUACCACUACCUCCGAAGAAGUAGCAAGGCUGUUUCCGAUAGACCCCCGGCUCAAGACACGAGAUAAUAAGCAAAUCCGUAAUAAAGCACGGAACAAGAUGAGAAGACAUAAAUACGCCACCCACAAUGAAUAAUAAACAAAUAAUAGUAAACAAAUUCGUAAUAAAGCAUGCAACAAGGUGGCAUAACAAGAAUAAUACACCCAUCAAGUAAAGCCCUACCCCAACGACCCCAAACUGGCACUAGCCUUCUACCCUAAUUCGCGUCCUCCAGAUCUUCCUAUCUAGGGUCAUAUCCUCAGUGAGCUAUAACUACUCCAUGUCCCGCCUAAUUACCUCUCUCCAGUAUUUCUUCGGCCUACCUCUACCCUGCCUGAAGCCAUCCAACACAAGCCUUUCACACCUACGAACCGGGGCGUCCGUGCCCCUCCUCAUCACGUGCCCGAACCAUCUCAAUCGAACUUCCCGCAUCUUGUCCUCCACCGAAGCCACUACAACUUUUUCCUGAAUGGUCUCAUUCCGAACUCUAUCACCCCUAGUAAACCCACACAUCCAACGCAACAUCCGCAUUUCCGCCACCUUUAAUUUUUGAAUGUGAGAGUUUUUGACUAGCCAACACUCCGCUCCAUACAACAUGGCCGGACAGACUGCCACCCUAUAGAAUUUGCCUUUAAGCUUGGACGACACCUUUUUAUCACACAACACCCCCGAGGCGUGCUUCCACUUCAUCCAUCCACCCCAAUACGGUGGAAGACAUCCUCGUCAAUCACAUCAUUCCCCUGAAUCAAGGACCCGAGAUACUUGAAAUUAUCCCUCUUACACACCCCCUGGGAAUCCAACCUUACUACCACCUCAUUCUCCUGCCUCAUGUCAUUAAACUUGCAUACCAAAUACUCUGUCUUGCUCCUACUCAACUUGAACCCCUUAGACUCAAGGGUCUGUCUCCACACCUCUAGCUUAUCAUUCACACACACCCUCGUCUCAUCAAUCAAAAAUACAUCAUCGGCAAAAAGCAUACACCAAGGCACCUCUCCUUGAAUACGCCGUGUCAACACAUCCAUCACCAAAGCAAACAAAAAUGGGCUAAGAGUAGAUCCCAGAUGCAACCCUGUCAAGCAUGAAGUACAACAAUUAGCAUAAUAUAUUUGCCUUUGAAUAUUUUCCAUUUACCUGUAAAUGAGUAUCUUCAUCAGUAGACUUCUGCAUUUGGUUCACUGGUGCUUCCAGGGCUUCAGCAACAUUUUCACCGGGCUUGUCAUCAUUGCUACCCUCUACCGACUUGGCUCCAGUUUGAGUUUCUUCCUUAGAUUUGAGUUCAUCCGAUAUGUGGACAGGUUCUGCUUUUACCUCAUUUACCCCCACAUUCUGAGGCUCAAUCUUGUCAUCUUUCCUAACAAGCUUUAGAGCUAUCUGGAAAGCAAGAACAGAAUGUGAGAAGUAUCAAAGCAUGGAAAUGAUUUCCAAGUGUUUGUGUUGCAUUUCAUUAAAUAGCCAUCACCUUUCUUCAAAAGUUCACUAGGCAUCAAAUUCAGACAAUGCAACUUAGAUGUUUUAAACAAAAGAGUACAGGCCACAGAACCUUGCGAUAAAUCUUUUCAAUCUGCUUCUGCAGAUUCCGAACACCAGCUUCUCUGCAGUAAUUUUCUAUUAAAGCAAGAAGAGCUGAAUCAGUCACUUCAACCUGAAAUAAGGAAUAGCCAAUAUCAUUAGCUUAUUGCAAGCAAUACUUCAGUGUAACUUGUGUAUAUGAAAACCAGCAUCAAGGCAUCAAUUGAAAAUAUUAAAAUUACAUACACUAACUGUCAAGAUAAUUAUACAUGUUGAAAGAUUUAAACCAAACAACAACAAUUCAGCCCUUCAAAUUUUGCAAUCAAUUACUAACAUAAUGUUUGCACACUUAAUUCUCCAACUUGGGUUCACAUUCUUUACAUCUGAGAAACUGCCACUUAGCAUGUGAAAAGCAUGUGACAGACAGAGAGGUGACAUAUACACGAGCUCAAACUCUGCAUCUUUUCCACUUGAUUACCUAUCAACUCGAACAAUUUUACAGGAGUAUUGAGAAGUCAGCAUUUCCAGCAAAAUGGUUCCCGAAGUCAUUACCUAAUCCUGUCUGUGUUUUCCAUUAGAUAAGCCUGAAGCUACCACUACAACAACCACAAACCGAGUGAAAUCCCACAGGUGUGGUCUCGGGAAGAACAAAGCUACUACUAUCUCAUGAAAAAGUACCAGCAGCCUACAAGAUUUCUGUUUUUAAAUUUGAACUCCUUUUAUCCAUUAUAGAAGAUCACGACUAACCAAGAUAUCCAUAAACCCUCAUAGGUAUCAACUAAUUAACUUUUGACGUCCAUACUUAAGGUGGAAAUUUCUCUUUUUUUUUUGGUGUGUGUGUGCGGUGGGUGGGGGGACACGAAGAAUUUAUUUUCUCCACCAGAGAUACAUAUGGCAUUUACCUCAACUAGACAAAAUUAGAGAGCUAAUUAUUAGGUUCCCGAAUUACAUCAAUAUCGUCUUUUCGACCAUGGGAGAACAUAUCUACUGCAGUCCUCAUACAAUAGAGAUUGCACUACCACGAGGGCACCACCUUCAAUUGCUUUUUUUUCCCUGGGAUAAUAGUGGUGUCCAGGCCAGCUUGCAUGCGCCUCGACUAUUCAAAUAGAUACUUGCAUCCCUUCAAUUACCUUAUUAAUCUAUUAAAACCUACCCAGCGACCAGUUAAACACCAUAAAUAAUUUUAUGUCCAGUCAAAAGUAGUCGAAUGCAAAAAAAAAAAAACAGAAAAAAGAUUGUAGGGGCUCUAAGGGCGAAAUGGAAUCAAACAUAGGCCUUAACAAAGAAAGUGCUAAUGAAAACAAUAACACGCAAAGCUUAAGCCUUGAGUCCUUAAAUAUGCUCCCAGGCACAUUUUCGAAGAAUAACUUUCCCUAGGAAUAUUCUAACCAAGUACCAUCUUUUCCAGGAAUGCUAGCCAGCAACAUGGCUGGAACUUGGUAUUUGUAAUUACCGGUAACGACAUUAUUUAUUUCGCAGUAGGGUUCAAAUUAAUUUGAUAUUCCCAGAAAGGCAGCAGGAUGGUUCAAAUGGAUGGAAAGAGGUCGAAUUUUAUCAGGAGAACAUACUUCAGCAAGAAGACGAUGAGAUGGCUUUGUGAGUCCAUGAAGGAGGCGUCGAAGGUCAAAGUAUGUGAAAAGACGGAUGUUCCAGGAUUGUUUCACCGAGUACUUUUGCACAAGAAAUUACAACAAACAGGUUCAUUAUAUGACAAAAAUCAGUACACAAGGAAGAGAUUAGUAUUAUCAUCCCUGAAUUUGAUACCGAUUGGUUGGACAUUGCAUUAAAGAUUGAAAGCUUCAUUAAUCACAGGCACAACAUCCAUCUUUAAACAAAAACUAAACAAUACGGAGGAGGGCCAACUGUACUCAGAAAUAGUCAAAAAUUCGAAGCGGCUAUCCAAGGAAAUAAAGGCAACAACGGUUCUUGAACAAAGGGAAUCCUACGUGUCAAAGGAUGAAUAAACUCAACACAUAAUAACUCACUGAGCAGGAGUUUGGUGGGCAGCCUACAGGAAGAAAUUUAAGACAAUCCCCACUCCAUCUGAGAUUCAUUGAAUAAGGAAUUUGACUUUGAAUGCAAGAUGAAGGCAUCCGAAUAAUUAAAUAGCAAGAUGUGAUAACUCUAUUGCCCAAAAAUCGCAGCGAAACAUGGGAUUGAAUUAGAAAGUGCGAGCAGUCUCUAUGAGGUGCCUAUUCUUCCUCUCUGCUACUCCAUUCUGUUGAGGGAUAUACGAACAAGAAGUCUGAUGAAUAAUUCCUUAAUGAGUAAUAAAUUGUUGAAAUUGGGAGGACAUACUUUAUAAGGCGCUAUCACUAUGAAAGGUACGAAUAGAGACAGAGACACGAAACUGAUUUUGUAUUUUAGCACAAUAACUCUAGAAUAUAGGAAACAAUUCAGAGCGAUCUUUCACUAACACACCGUUUGGAUGAUGGUUUUCUAUGGUAUGGUAUGAUUAUUAAGAGAACCAUAUUUGUUUUGAUUGUUUCUUAAAAUGUAUGGUAUGGUAUGCUUUAAUUUCAUGGUUUGGUAACCUUGAAAACUCACUUUAUGUAACCACCGAUUUGGUAGUAUCCUAUGGUUUGCUUAUUUAUUUUCCAACUAUGCCCUUAUUUAAUAUUAUAUAAUCCUAUUUUACCCUUCAUCCUAUAUUAUUUAACUCCACCUCCCCCUCCUUUCCCUUCCCCCGCCUAAAAUAAAAUUAUUUUUUAAAUUUUAAACUUUUUUCCUAUCUCACCCCCCACCCUAACCCCGACCCUUACCAAACCCCUACCCUACUUUUUUCAAAAAUUUAUUUUUUUAAAAAAAAUUCAAAACUUUUUCUUACCCCACCCUCACCCUCACCCAUCCCUCCCUCACCACUUACCAGCCCUCUCACGAACCAAUUUUUUUAUUUUUCAAAAAUUUCUUACCCCACCAUCACCUCCUACCAGCCCCCCCACCCUACCCCAUUCCACCCUAUGCACCUACCUACAAAAAAAAAAAAUAUUUUUUAAUUUAUUUAUUAAAAAAUCAAAAAAAAAUUCUUAGCCACUCCUACGCCUACCCUCGAUCCCCCCACUCCGCUACCCCACCCCCAAAUAUUUUUUUUAAUAAAAAAUUCAUAAUUAUUUUCUUACCCCACCCCCUUAUUCUAUUCAUUCUCAUUGUUUUGUGGUAAAUACAUACAAAUAUUUUUAGAAAAUAUUUUUCUAUUUGUGUAACGAACACAAGUUAAGUAAGAAGCAAUUUAUUUUCCUAGAAUUUUUUUUUGUAUUCCAUACCGAACACACCCAUAACAUACACAAAAGAUGCAUCAAACUUUGUACUUGUCAUUGGUGGCCACGUUUCAGAACACCAAAAGGAAAUGAAAUUUGUUACUAUAAAAAAUGAAUUUGAUUACAUUUAUUUUGAUCUACUCUUGUAUUGAUUUUGUUAAAAUUUACAUGAAUUUAACAACUUAAUAUAUUUACAUGGCAUAAUUUGUGAUAGAUUAACAAGAAAAUUAUUUUAUUAACAAUUAUUGAUAAAAUUAGCAUUUAUAAUAAUUAAGAAACUUUUGGUAAACUUACUAGUUACAAUACAGUACCAUACCGUCAAACAAGACAAUAAAACUGUUAUUAAACAACACUGAACGAUACAGUCCAUCCAAACAUUGUAUUGUACUAUACUGUACAGUACAAUACUAUACCAUACGGUACCGUACAUUAUGAAACCAUGUCAAACCACCAUCCAAACAAAGUGUAAGAAAUCCAAGUACAUCUUGAAUAAUCAUCAAUGAAGCUUCCAAAAUAACGAAACCCCGAGGUUGAAAUGAUUCUACUAGAACCCCAAAUAUCAGAGUGAACUAAGGAAAAGAUAAACUCUGCAUGAUUCUCACUACUACAUUGAAAGGCAGUUCGAAUAUGUAUCUUAAGUUGGCACGACUCACAAUCUAAUGUGGAUAGACUAGAUAAACUAGGCACUAUCUUUUGUAACUUGAACAAACUAGGAUGUCCCAAACAUUUGAGAAUUACGUCUGGAGAAUCUGUAACUAGACAUGCUAUGAAGGAGUUAGGAGAGGUAAGGUAGUAGAGGCCUAGUGAUUCAUAUCAUACACCAAUUGUUUGUCUCGUACUAAGGUAGGUAGAGGCCUUGUGACCAAUUGUUUGUCUCGUACUAAGGUAGGUAGAGGCCUUGUGACCAAUUGUUUGUCUCAUACUAUGGUCAUGUGUGAUAAAAGAGUUCUUGAAAUAGUAUGCCACAAUUUAGGGCAUGAGUCAAACAAUUGACUAAUGCAAGAUUUAAAGGACAAGCACGGGAUAGGGGAUUAGCUUAUCAACUCUUUGGUUUGGUUACCAUUGGCUAAAGUGUUAAUUGGAAGAGACUGAAUAAACAAUAUUUAAUAGAAGUGAUUUAUCACCAAAAAGAUUAUACCACCAAAGAUUGUUAAAGUAUAAUAAAUACUUGCAGGCAUUGGGUGUUUAUACUUGCAGGCAUUGGGUCGCUGACCUUCGUGACUGAAAGUGCUUUAUUGUAUAGCUCCUGAAGAUAAUACACAUGUUUUUCAAGAGUCAGUAAGCUGCAAUUUUUGUUUUUUGGAGAAAGGUAAAGAUAGAUCUUCCCGACCUUUUCAGAAUCAAAAUAAAAAAUGACACCAUAAUGAACGGCAUACCAAAAGAUAGAGGAAAGAAAUAACUUGGAAGCAUCCGAGAAAAAUUCGACAGGCACUAAAUCUCCGAUAAAAUUUGGAAUUCUAUGUUGACAAAUGCUUUAAUGGAAUAAAACUAAAGGCCGGAAUUCAUCUGCUAUAUAAAAUCUAUAUUAUAUUAAAAGUAUGAACUCCCUAACUUGAAAGUUAAAUUACCUUAUUUAAAUAUCCAAUUAAAUAGAUUAAAAACAAAAACCUAGCGCUUGUGAAGAGAAGCCAACACUUCAAAAUUAAAAACAAAAACCUAAUGCUUGUGAAGAGAAGCCAACACUUCAACUUCAUACCCCUGUUUCUAACUUGCUCCCAAGAACGUUGAGUGUGUGUUCUAAAAAUACUUUGAUAUGUGACUGCCUGUUUGAUUUCAAUCCGUUACCCUAUGAACUUUAUGUUUACUGCUUCUUUACUUAUUUAGACAAUGCAUAUGUGUUCCGCUGAUGCCUUUGGCUUAUUAAAUGUCGCUGUGAUAGUUUUUAUACGCUUCAACUGUAUUUUUUUCCUUGCAAUUAAAGUUCUCCUCUCUUUGCGCACCCAAGUUUUGCAAAAAAAAUAAAAUCAUUUAAACACCAAAAAAUUAUUCUCAGAAAGGCCAAGUCUUUCUAAGGAUUCUUGUGUCUAUUUUCGUAUCUUCUAAUUGACAUCAUAAACAUAUUCACUCUACUGAACUUGAUCCAACAACAACAACAACAAACCCAGUAUAGUCCCAUAUAGUAGAGUCUGGGGAGGGUAGAAUGUACGCAGUCCAUACCACUACCUCCGAAGAAGUAGAGAGGCAUAAAGAUAGUGGUAAAGGUUUACGUAUAUUGUUGUUCUUAAAAUUCUAGCUUUGAUCUGAACCCAUAUGGAAAUAUUUUUUUUGAUUUCCCAUCCAGUGUUUGAUACCCAUAUUGAGGAUCAACUAAAUUUGGAUUCGCGAUGAGAAGUCCCACGUUGGGCAUGUAUAGUGUUGUUUGCAUAGAGAACCCCAGUACUUUAAUUCGUUAUCUUGUCUUGAUGUUAUAUUUAUUGUAGUUUAUCUUAUAUGCGCUACAUGAUUUGACUACACCUACUUGAAAGUUCAAUUUUAGACGCUGAUGAGAUAUGCUUGACUGGUAGCGAGAGUUAAAAUCUAUUUGAUGUUUUCCUCUAGAAACUAUUUUAUCUUUUAAUAGCACUAGGUCGUUUGGUAUAGGGGAUGGGAUAAGUAGGGAUAUCUUAUGGCUUGGGAGAUCCCAUGGGAUUAUUUUAUCCUACCUUCCAUAUGGAUAGUAAUCCCCCAUUUUAGUAUUAGUGGUCGGAUAAAACAAUCCCGGAAUUAGCUAACACCUCACACCAAACAUGGGAUAAGUUAAUCCCAAAUUUUACCCUGGGAUUGUUGUCCUUAUCCCACGUACCAAACGCCCCCUAAAGACUUGCUCUAGGACUUCAUUUCAUUUUGCGUGUGGUUAAGUACAUCCGUUAUAUUCAAGUUUACUACUUUUGUUUGAUUCCGCUUCUUUUAUUCAAACAUAUUUAUAAUCUUAUAAAUGAAGGAAGCUAUGCUUUAAAAAAGUAUGAUAAAAGCAUGAUAAGUUUAUAUUGCUCCAGCAAUAAUGAUUUAUGAUGAAUGGAUGUUCAUAACAUAAACUUACUUUAUCCAUCUUAAAUGGCUUCUUAUGAUGCUAUUGGGGUCAUUACACACUUAUAGCCUGUUUGGGAUUGUUUUUUUCUCAAAAAAAAAAACUAUUUUCUUUUUUGAAAAAAAAAACACUUUUUUCAAAAAAAGAAUGGUGUUUGAUAAACUUUCAAAAAUGCUUUUAAAAAGACGCAGAAAUUGUUUUUCUGUUGUCGGGAUGAAGCAGAAAAUUUCUACUUUUCAAAAAAAGCAGAAUCAGAAAAUUAUUUUUUUCAGGACAAAAAUAUCCCUAUUACAAACAGACACAUAUGUAAAAAUAUCCCUAUUACACACAAACAGAUGUAUGAAGGACUACUUAUUUUUGUGGUGAACUUUUUCAUAUGUAGUGAUUUAAUUUAUUGAAUAAUUUUUAAAUCCAAUGUUGUUUGAUGUUUUUAAGUAACAUUUAAGUUAUUUUAGUAAUAUUAUAUCAUUAUUUAAUAUUAUUUAAUGUAUCUGUGUAUAUAACUAUUGAUUGAAAAUUUUAUAGUACGUACUUUUUAUUAAAUAAAAAUAAAAAAUUUAAUUAAAAAUAUUAUAAUAGAUAUUUAAAAUAUACUUUCUCUAUAAAAUGAUUUUAGUAGUAAAAGUCUAUUGAUACAUGUCCUUUUUCGUCAUUUGUCUCUCAAAAACACUUUUUGAAAAAGAUUCUAAACACUGUCUAUUUAUCAAAAGCACUUUUCAAAUGAAUUUACUAAACACAAAUUGUAUUUUUUUCAAAAGCACUUUUCUAAAAAGCUAUUUUACAAAAGUGUUUCUCAAAUAAGCAAUUUUCUAAACAACAAUCCCAUACGGGCUCAGUUUAUGUAAAAAGAAUCAGUCUAAUUUAGGCAUAUUUAAAAUCUUAGCAAGUUUUUAUUUUUAUCCAGCCAUAUUCUUCUUUUUUCCCCUUUAAUUUUGCAUUUAUCCUACCGCCUAUUUGAGCUGUAACAGUUACCUUUAGCAAGGUUAAUGAGUAAUUCCACAAAUAAUCACUCUAUUAACAAUUUUUAUCUCAGAAAGUCGCUCGACUAAUGAUAAUUAUCUUAGAAAUCACUCAACUUUAUUUUUUCAUAGAAAAGUCACUCAACUAUUACUAGUUCGCCUACAAAGUCAUUCAACCAAUUCAAGCUAGAUUUUCAGUAGUUUUUGUUUUUUUUAAAUGGUGCUAUAUUUUCGGUAGAUAUUGUUGACGUGAUUCUGAUCUUCCCUUCAACUUAGCUAAACUAGAAAUUCCAGGCAAAAAUACCUAAAAGAACUGUUAGGUGGUGACUCUUGAAUUAAGCCCGAAAUCAUUAAUAAAUUGUGCUUCUACUUAAUCUGAUUAAGAUGGAGUGCAAUCACCCCAAUUUUUGAUAAAACAUACUUCUAUCAAUAUUGGAGAGACGUGAUUAGGCAUGAUAUGGAGCAGUUACAGCUUACGGAGGUCAUGACCUUUAAUAGGAAGGUAAGUGGAGGAUGCGGAUUAGGGUAGAGGGUUAGGGGGUGAGAGUGCACCGGUUACAGUAGGCGAGCGUUCUUUAUUGGUGUUUGAAGUUUCUUGUUCGUAGUGUUGAGUAAUGUCUAUGAUAUCGGAUAUAUAGUUUUUAGUAUUAUUUUGUGGCUGUAGUAUUAUCUUGUAGAUAGCAAGGUUAGUUUAUUUUGCAUACUGUACACAUUUAUGUUUGUGAUCGCUAUACUGUUAUCGGUCCUAAGCCGAGGGUCUAUCGGAAACAGCCUCUCUACUUCACCUACUUCACCUGAGGUAGUGGUAUGGUCUGUGUACACUCUACUCUCCCCAAACCCCACUAUGUGGGAAUACACUGGUAUGUUGUUGUUGUUAUAUACUUCUAUACCAUAAACUGUUCUUACUAUAAAGUAAUCAUGUUUUUAUGCAAAUACGUAUAGCUUACUAAGAGUUCUUAAAUUGAUUAAACCUUCAAUAUAAUCAAGUUCCCUUACCAUAAAGUGAUCCCUUAAUAAGAGUUGGAAUGCUUGGUCCUAUUUGUUAUAUGAUUGAGUACAUCUUUUUAGCCAAAACCUAUGGUGAAGAUUUGCUCCGUAAUGGAGUUAUUGUUUGUUAGGCUUAAGUUAAUCAUAUGAUUGCAAAGUUCGAUGUUUGUUUAGAAAAUUAACUUAAAGCUUUAUGACAUGACCCUAGAUAGGAAGGUCUGGAAGACGCGAAUUACGGCAGAAGAGUAGGGCCAGAUUGGGUCGCUAGGGUAGGGAAUUACUUGGUGGGGUUUUUUUAUUUUUUAUUCCCGUUAUGAUUCCGUAUUCAGUGUUCCAUGCUUAUUACGAAUCUGUGUGCUUUCCUCUGCUUUCCUCUGUUUUAUAUUCCUUAUGGGUGCCGUAUUUAUGUUAUGUCAUCUGCUUAUGUGCUUUACUAUGUGGUUGUGUGAUAUCUGGUGCCUUGAGCCGGGGGUCUUUCGGAAACAGCCUUUCUACUUCAUCAGAGGUAGAGGUAUGGACUGCGUACAUCUUACCCCCCCCAGACCCCACUAAGUGGGAAUACACUGGGUUUGUUGUUGUUGUUGUUGAUUUAUCACCAAAAAUAUGAUCAGAAGCACCAGAGUCCACAACCUAUGAUCCUUUGAGAUUGUGCAGUUGAGGCUAUUGGUGGAAAUAUCUGCUUACUUGCUCGAUACUAAAAUACUCGUUAUAUUUCUUUUCAGAUAAAUACACCCAUUGAUUACCUGUGAUGUUAAACCAAGCAACAUGAGCAUUUUUAGAUGGUCGACCAAACAAAGAAUAGCAUAUUUCAUGAGUAUGUCCAAGCCUAUUACAAUAAGUACACUUAGGUUGAGAAUAGCAAAUGUCACAAGUGUGUCCAAGCCUUUUACAAUAACUAAGGUUUACAAUAACUAAUCCUAGGUUGAAAUCUUUCAAAACGACCUCCCCCUCAUCGAUUUUUCAUGGACUGUGACGUUUGAUUUUCUAAUCUCAUUAAGGGUUCAGAAUUAAUCACAAGACUAAAAUGAGCAAAAAAUAUGUUGCCAGAAACUAGGAAAAAAGUGUUCAGUCGCCGAAAUCUGAAAAUAAACUGUUUCAUAGCCGAAAAAUUAGAUCUAACUUCUGAAACUUGAUCAGAAUCAAGAAGUAACUGUAUGGACAAUCUCAGAUUCAAGAGACGACCCUACUGGAAGGAGAACCUUUUGGAAAAAGUGUCCGAAAAUUACUCACGCACCGAUGCGUGGAUCUGAUGAGCUCGCUAGAAAUCUGCUUUUGGCGGCGCAUGAGGGCGUGUGCAGUACUUGUUUCUGACGAAUCUGACUGGGGUUUUGUGAUUGAAAAGUUCUAAACGUGAUGGUGGACUUGUUUUUGAAAAAUAAGGAACUGACUGACACCGAAGAAUUUGCACCAUGACGGAUAACUUCACUGGAAUGAUGCACAAUGAUACUUUCCUCACCAAUUCUCUGAUACCAUGCAAGAAAUAUAGGAGAAAGAUAUUAUUGAAUUAUUGUCUCUAAAUUAUUACAUUGAGAUCCUAUUUAUGGACACUAUAUUAAACACCUUUUCCAACUAGGACACUAACAUUACAAUCCUUUUCCAAAUAGGAUUCUAUAUAAUAUUUCUAUUCCUACUCAUAUCAAGGAAAAGGUGGGAAUGGCUUUGGAGGACAAGAUGUGAGAAGUGAGAUUGUGUUGGUUCGGACAUGUGAUGAGGAACGUGGAUGCUCCAGUUCGGAGGUGUGAGCCCCUAACUAUGGAUAGUUUUAGGCGGGGUAGACGUACUACAACAACAACAACAUACCCAGUGUAUUCCCUCCUAGUGGGGUCUGGGGAGGGUUGAGUGUACGCAGAUCAUACUACUACCUCAGGUGAAGUAGAGAGGCAGGCGGGGUAGACGUUGACCGAAGAAAUAUUGGAGGGCGGUGAUUAGGUAGAACAUGAGACAGUUACAGCUUAUAGAGGACAUGACCCUUGAUAGAAAGGUGUGGCGGACACAAAUUAGGGUAGAGGGGUAGUAGAUAGGAGUACGUUCGUAAUAGUAGAGAAGAGUGUUAUAUUUGUAUAUGUGCCUGUAGUGUCUUCUAGCCUAUUGUACAUGGUAUUUUGGUGAUGUCCAUGAUUCCGUAUAGAUAGUUUAUAAUGUACUUUUUAUAAUGUACUUUGUGGUUGUCUUGUUUUCUUUAAUAUCUAGCGGUGUGAUAUCCUUUGUUGUUGUUUGCUUUUAUGUUUUUUGUUUGUUAUUUGUUAUCUGUCCUGAGCCGGGGGUCUAUCUAUCGGUAACAGCCUCUUUACUUCAUUUGAGGUAGUGGUAUGGACUGCGUACAUUUUACCCUCCCUAGACCCCACUUUGAGGGAAUACACUGGGUAUGUUGUUGUUGUUGUUGUACUCCUAUUCUAACACUUAUGUAUGGUCCCAAAGAAUCUUAAAGGAAAUUGGAAAUUAUUGUAAUGGGUGGACACAGACAAAGAGAGGAACUGAAGAAUCACCUAAAAUCGGUUAGAGUUGAGAUUGCGGAGGGAGAGCGUGAUGCAGUCCCAAAAAUUAUAAAAGUGGAGUGUGACAGAGUCAUCUAGGAGAUCCAGGUGUGUUUUGAAGCCUAGGGAGUACUUCCACCGCAGUUACUGCUAGGGAAAAGAUGAAGGACCUCUAUUUAUUAGAGGGCAUCAAAGGUACAAGGGGAUAAGCUCAAGAUGACAUAAACAGAAAAGAGCAUGUGGGUUGUUCAAAUGUAGGGAUGGCAAUUUGGGCCGGGCACGGCAAAACUCUUAACGAUGCGGGGUAGGGGAAGAGCUAAACAGGAGAGGGCAAAUUUAAUUUUGUUAGAAAUUUAAAUAGGGCAGGGAAGGUGAUGGGUUUUAUAGAAAAAUAGGCCAAACCCACAAACUAAGCUAUUUUUGCACAAAUUCUUCUACAUUUAAUUCUUUGUUUUUUGUGUUUCUUCGAAAAAUAAUAGUUACAUCACAUUAGAGUUUAGGAAAUAAUUAUAUGUUGUAAUGACACUAUAAUCCCUCACCAGGAUAAAAUUAAGUAAUACACAAAUAACUGGAAAACAAUGAUCGCCAUGAUUGUUUAAAUAAAUGUAUAUGGCAGUUUGAAAUAUGCAAGUAACUGUAUAGUCAUUAGCAUUUUCCAAUUACUAUGGAUAUGACCAGUGGCGGAGCCAAGAUUUUCAUUAAGGGGGUUCAGAAGUAAACAUAUGGACUAGUCGGAGGGGGUUCAACAUCUACUAUAUAUACAUAAAAAUAUUUUUGAUCGUAUAAAAAUAAUAUAAAAAUAGUAUAAUUUUCCUUCGAAGGGGUUCGGAUGAACCCCCUGAUUACAAGGUGGAUCCACCACUGGAUAUGAUAGACAAAUCAAUAUUCAAUUCACUAAGAAAUUCACUACACUAUGUAAACUACAAAAUUAAAAUUAUGAAAUUCAAAAAAGGUAGAAAUUAUUCAUGUACUCCCUCGGUCCAUCCUUGUCCACUUUCUUAUUGGCACAGGAAUUAAGAAGCAGUAAUGAUAGGGGGGUAAUUUUACCAUACUACCCUUUGAAUAUAAUAAAUUUAAUGCUUUGAAAAUGCAUUAGAGAAUGAAUCAUUUUUAAUUCCAUGGGUAAAAUGGACAGAAAUAAGUAAAUUAUUCCUUGAUUUUAUAAACUGGACAAGUAAAAUUAUUCCUUGAUUUUAUAAACUGGACAAGUAUUGUUGGAUAUCCCAAAACAGAAAAGUGGACAAGUAAAGAUGAACAGAGGGAGUAUUAGAUAUAGACUAAAUAAAUGAUCUUGGGUUUUGUUUAAUUCUUUCACAAUUUAUAUUUAUGAAUGAAUAAUGAAAGCAUUUAUUAGUGUUGAAUGAUUUGGUUGAGAAAUAAUACUAUAGGUGGGCAAGCAAAAGCAUUUAACAUUAGGUAUCAAAUUAGAGAGAACAGAGCCUAGAAAAGUUUAUAGGGCUAUGAGUUUGGCACUUGAAUUUGAAAACAAAUUAAGCCCAAUCACAACAUUAGAGGGCCCAAUUGGACCCAACCAAUAGACCCAUUGUACAGAACUCAUUGCACUCCAGAACAACGCUGCUACUCUGCACAUCAAAAUUCACAAAGCAAUGAUUCUUCCAACCCAAAGCAUCCAGACCUUUCCAAACUCGAUCAUGCUACAGGGCUUUACAGGAGGUAAUCAAUUGGACAAUUGAUGAAGUCAAUGCUACAGGUGGUGACGAUGGCAACCCUUAAGAAACUGACAGCUGAAAUUUCUUACCAUGCCAUCUUGGGAAAUUCAAUUAGUAAAAGAAAUGAAAUUGCAGGGUGAAAUCAAUAAUAAACGAGUUUUGAUAUUUGUGGAUAGUGUUUCCACACAAAAUUUUCUGGCGGAGUCCAUUAGAGGAGCAUAAACUUCCUGUGGAAACAGCUCCAACAUUCAGUAUGCAAAUAGGGAACGGGGACAUCAUCAGUUACAAUAAGUUUGCAGGAAUCUUCAAAUUCAGUUGUCGGGUUUUACCGUCACUCAGAAUUACUACUCAUUUGCAAUUGGAUGGCCUGAUUUGGUCUCUGGUAUCAAAUGGUUAGCAUCUCUUAAGACCAUUCAAGCUAACUGGAAUGAUAUAUUCAUACUUUUCAAUUGGAAGGGGAAACAUUAUAAAUUGCAAGGGGUGAGAUCAACAAAUUCCACUAUGGCUUCCCUUCAAUCCUUUAACAAAUUGUACGAGAAUCCCGGUAAUUGAAUUCAGAUGCCGGUAGAUGAGUUCUACUCUAUUUUCUGAGCCAAUGUCACUUCCACCAUUUAGAGCACAUUCUCAUGCUAUUUCUCUGUUACCAAAUUCUAAAACUCCAAAUAUAAGACCUUUAUCGACACCCUCAUGGUCAAAAGACUGAAAUUGAGAACCAAGUUGUUGCUUUACUAGAAUUCGGCUUCAUUUGUUGUAGUUCAAGUCCAUUGGCUAGACCGGUUCUGCGAGUGAAAAAGAAAGAUGAUUCGUGGAGGUUUUGUGUUGAUUACCAUAGCCUCAUUAAGGUAACUAUACCAAAGAAAUAUCUUAUUCCCAAUAUAGAUGAGUUACUGGACGAGUUACAUAGAGACUAUUUUUUCAAAGAUAGAUCUUCUUACAGGGUACCAUCAAAUUCGUUUCCAGUCUGCGGAUAUCCAUAAAACAACUUUCCGAAUUCAUUCUAAACAUUAUGAAUUUCUAGUAAGGCCUAUCAGACUCACGAAUGCUCCGCCACUUUCCAAUUCGCAAGGAAUGACCUUUCCAGACCAUACAUCAGAAAAUCCAUCUUGGUUUUCUUUGACGAUAUUUUGAUCUAUGGUCCUACCCUCCAACAACACCAAAACCAUCUUCAGAUAGUUUUUCACCUUUCCAUCAAUUCUAUUUUUGCUAAUCCCUAGAAGUGUCUGUUCGCACAACCCUCAAAUUGGGUAUCUAGGUCAUGUGAUUUCCAGAAAUAGAGUAGCUGCGGAUGCAAAAAAAUAGCAGCAGUCUUGGAUUGGCCUCUGCCAAAGAAGGUGAAGGAACUUCCAGGUUAUUGGGAUUCAUGGGUUAUUACCGACAGUUUGUUAAGAACUAUGGUAUUCUUGCUCGUCUCUCAACAGAUCUUACCAAAAAGGAUGCUUUCAUAUGGAAUACAACAGCAGAAAAGGCUGUUCAGCAUCUUGAAAGAGUCUAGACAUCAGUACCUGCUCUUUGUCUAUCUGAUUUCACUCAAAAUUUUACUGUUGAAUGCGAUGCUCCAACUGAUGGCGUUGGUGCUAUUCUACUUCAACAAAGUCACUCUCUUGCCUAUUUCAGUACCAAGCAGCUUUUAGAACAACUUUCUAUUGACACUUUUUCUAAUUCGGAGUUUUCACUCUGCCAACCAUCUUUACUACAAAGUUCGAUUGGUAAUUCCUGAUUAUCCCGAGUUUAAAGACAUGAUUUUAGCCGAGACACAUGAUUCUCCAACAGGAGGACAUGGGGAUACUUGAAAACUCUCAAAAGAGUUUCUGUCAAUAUUUUCUGGCCAUGUCUGAAGCAGGAUGUUAAGUUGUUUGUCCAGAAUUGUUUACUUGACAGCAAAAUAAAUAUGAAACUUUCGCUCCAAGUUGUCUUUUGCAACCAUAGCCGAUUCACAACCGAGUCUGGAAAGACAUUUCCCUGGAAUUUAUUUUGGGUCUUCCUUCUUCAAAUGGUUAUAACACUAUUCUUGUGGUAGUAGAUAGGUUCAGCAAUUGUGCUCAUUUUCUGGCUUUAUCUUAUCCAUUCACUGCCAAAAAAUGGUUGCUUUGUUUUGUACGGAAAUUGUUCGCUUACAUGGAUACAGCUUUCUACUCUUUCAGAUCAUGAUGUUACUUAUACUUUGUACACAUCUUCGUAUGGGUAAUUCUUACCAUCCUAAUCCGAUGGCCAACAGAGGUGGUUAACUGGUGCCUUGAAGCCUAUUUGUGUUGCUUUGCUCAUGAAAAGCCUAAAUCGUGGUGUCAAUAUUUAGCUUGCCAAGUAUUGUUUCAACAAGGACUAAUAUGACCCCUUAUCAAGUUGUGCAUGGAAGGAAGCCACCACCAUUGCAUCCUUUUGUCCCUGGUGAAACUAAACUUGCUGAUCUUGAAGCGCAGCUUUUGGCACAUGACCAAAUGCUGAAGUUAGUGCAGUCCAAUCUCUUGAAGGCUCAAUCUCGUAUAAAAUCACAAGGUGAUUCACAGCAAUGUGAAUUGUCUUUUGGCGUGAGCGGUGAUGGUCUACUUUGUCUUCAUCCUUAUCGUCAGAAGAGUUCAAACAUCCCAAUGAGAAGUUGUCUCCUCGCUAUUUUGGUCCAUAUAAAAUUGGUCGCAAAAUGGGUUCUGAUGCUUACUUAUUGCAGCUGCUGCCGACAGCGAAGGUACACCCAAUUUUUCAUGUUUCCUUGUGUCGCCCUGCUCACGGAUAUUCUGAUAUUCCAUCACCUCCACCAUUUCCUCUUUUGGCUGAUUUGGAUUUCAUUGUGGAGCCUGAAAAAAUUUUGUUGCACCGUUGGGGUGAAAGGACCUGGGAUUUCAACUUUAGACUUACUCAUUAAAUGGCGUCCAUGUGAAGUUGCUGCCAUGUGACCGAGAGGUCACGGGUUCAAGCCUUGGAAACAGCCUCUGGCAGAAAUGCAAGGUAAGGCUGCGUACAGUACACCCUUGUGGUGGGGCCCUUCCCCGAACCCUGUGCAUAGCGGGAGCUUUAGUGCACCGGGCUGCCCUUUUUAUUAAAUGGAGUCCAAUUGAAGAAGCUAGUCGGAUAGAGCAUGACUUGCUUGCUGGUAAGUUUCCUUCAUUUUGCCUACAGGAAAUGCGUCUUUUCAGGGUGGUGCACUGAUAUGACCUCACCUUUGAAGACAUUUUAGAAAAAGAAAGUGUGAAAAGGGAAAUAGAAAUUCUGAAACUGCAUGUGAGGUGUAACCAGGGCCAAACAUAAAGAAACUGCCUCUUUCAUACUCUCCAACAGUUACCAAUAUUCCAACAACUAUCAGAUUAGGCUUUAUAGUUUUCUAGUUGUUUGUUGUAGACAAUAUGCAUCUUAUUAAUAUCUAGUUAGGAUUAUUUCUAAGAUGAUUGAUAUCAGUUUGAAUAUCAGUUUCAGGGAGUUCAUACACUCCAUGUGGAUAGAUUUAUGGACAGUAAACACUAAAUUGCGUCUAAGAUUCUUGGGCAAUCUAUUACCAGUAGCAAUUUCCUUUCUUUCUCAAUCACUUCCAUAAGAAUUUCCAGCAUCUAACAGUGUGAAAGAGAAGCUUUUGAAUUCUUCAUGAAGAAUGAAGAUUGAUUGUAAGUGUCAUAGCAAUGUAGAUCUCUCAGUGAUACAAGCAGUGGAAACUCCAAAUAGGGAGGGACUUAAGAAUUGAAGGGAUUGGAGAUUGGUUGAUAGUUUAGGAGCAAUGAUACUAGAAGCAAGGGGAUGUAUCACAAAUAUCCAAUGAUAGUGAACAUUGUAACUUGGAAUGUUAGGGGAUUGAAUUGCCACGAGAAAAAGAAGUUGAUCAUGAACAUUGAAAGAAAUAUAAGAGAAUAAUAUUAUUGAAUUGUUGGUAUCUGCAUGAUUACAUUGAGACCCUAUUUAUACACACUAUAUUCCAGUCCCUUUCCAAAUAGGACACUACAAUACAAUCCUUUCCAAGUAGGAUUCUAUAUGGUAUUCCUAUUCCUACCAUAUACUAACACUUCGUCUCAAGUUGGUGUAUGCAAGACAUAUGUACCAAGAUUGUUAGAGAUGUAAUGUAAGAGCAUUAGUGAGGGAAUUCGUGAAGAUAUCAACAAGAAAACUGGCAGAGCAGCAGAACUGCUCUGGACGUUUGGGAGACCUUAGUUGGAAAGGAACAAACUGAAAAAGUGGUCGAGAAGUAGUAAAUGCCGCGGGAAAGUCGAUUGGUCGUUGCAAAUUUUUCGAAAACUAGUAUAAAUAUAUGGGUCAUCUCGAAAUCAAGAGAUGAGUAGAUCUUGAACAAGAAAAUCACUGAGAAACUGCAGAAACAAGCUCACUCGCAGACUUAUUAGAUUUGACGGCUAAAAAGGUCAAAAUCUAAGAAAAAUUAUAUGGGUAGAGCCGGAAUGAUCGCACGACCCUACUGGAAAAGAGAAAUUAUAUGAGUAGGGUCAGAAUGAUGGCACGAACCUACACAAAUCAGAUAUGAGAAGUCACCGGAAAGAUGUACGGUAUGCAAAUCAAAUAUGAGAAAGUAGCCACCGAAAAGAUGCACGGUGCUACGUAAAUUAGAUAUGAGAAAGUAACAGAAAGUAGCACGGUGGAUCAACUUUUGCUAACAUCAUCAUCGGCUAGACAGGCGACAUAUAUGGGUAAUAGCCGCCCGCCGGCAGCGGCAGCUCUUUAAUUCUCUACCAAGAUCGUAGAGGCUCUAAUACCAUGUGAGAAAUAUAAGAGAAGAAUAUUAUUGAAUUGUUGUAUCUGCAUGAUUACAUUGCGACCUUAUUUAUAGACACUACAUAUAAUCAUUUUCCAAAUAGGACACCACAUUACAAUUCUUUUCUAAGUGGGAUUCUAUAUGUUAUUCUUGUUCCUACUCAUAUUCUAACAAAUAUGGUACACAAAUGGAAGGCUGAUGUGUUGUGCCUUCAAGAAUCUAAAAUUGAAGAGGAGAUCACUGGCAUUGUAAAAGAGAUGGGCUAACAGAUUGGCGAAAUACUUGCAACUAGUGGCCACUAGAACAAUAGCGGGAAUCCUAAUCUGAUGGGACAGUAGGAUUUGGGAUGGAUAAGUUAGCAGUUUGGGGGCUUAUUCUAUCACCUAUAAAUUCACUGGAAAGAGUCAGAAAUUUGCUUGGCAUCUUUACUGUUUUUUCUGCCCCAAAUGAUAGAAGAGAGAGGGAAGAUGAAUGGUGGGAUCUUGCUAAUGUUACUGGCCUUAUAUCUGGUGCAUGGGUGACUUCUAUAGGGAGUUUAAUACAAUAAGAUUCCCUUUAGAAAAGAAGAACUGUAAGAAAAUUACCAGAGCGAUGAAGGAAUUUUCCGAGUUUGUAGAAGACAUGGAAUUGGUAGAUUUCCAACUAUCGGAGGGCGUAUAUACUCGGAGAUGGGGAAACAGACUGGAAAGUGCAGCUAGACUGGAUAGGUUUCUCGUCUCUUAGACUCAAAUGCGUGCUUCAGGAACAUUAAACAGUAAACUCUCUACAUAGUUAUGUUAAAGUGUGGUAGCUGGAAUCCAGUCAAGUCGCUGUUUUAAAUUUGAGAAUCGGUGGCUACAAACAGAGGGUUUCGAAGAAAAGGUGAAGGACUGGUGAGAUUACUUUGCCUGUGAAGAAAGACCUGACUACAUUUUAGCUUUCAAAUUAAAGGCUAUUAAAGAUAAACUCAAGGAAUGGAGCAAGACUACACAAGGAAACUUGGGUUUGGAAAAAGCAAGUAGUCUAAAUCAGUUAGCUAAAUCGGAGGAGAUCCAUAAUCACAUGUACUUAAAUGAGGAAGAACAAGCCACAAAAGCAUCUCUGGCUAUCGAGUUUUGAGGAUAGUGAAAGGCAUGAAGAAGUAGCUUGAAGACAAAAGUCAAGAGCCCUAAGGUUGAAGCAAGGGGAUAGAAAUACAAAAUAUUUCAACCGUUUGCAAAUGCUCAUAGAAGAGUUAAGAACAUUGAUAAGCUGUUAACAAGGGGAGAGGAGGUGAUCAAUCCAGCAAAUAUUAAAAAAGGAAAUUGCCACCUUUCAUCAGUAGCUAUAUUUUGAGUUUGCAAUGUGGAGACCUCGAGGUAACAUAGGAAACUGUCCUAGGGUCAAUGAUGAGGACCAUUGAAGUUCGGGAGAUACAGGAUAGUGUGAAAGCAUGUGCUGGAGACAAAGCUCCUGGACCUGAUGGUUUCUCCAUGGCAUUUUUCAACGAGUGCUGGGAGGUGAUACAUAAUGAAAUGGUAGCUGCAGUGCAGAAUUUUCAUGAUCACGGGGUUUUUCAAAAAGAAAGGCAUUAAUGCUGCUUUAGUAGCCAUGAUUCAAAAAAAAAAAUGGGAGCAAAGGAAUUGAAAGCCUUCAGGUUCAUCAGUUUGAUAGGCAGUAUCUACAAGAUUAUUCUAAAUUUCUGACUAGGAUAUUGAAGAAAAUAAUAUUCAAAUUAGUGGACAACCAACAGAAGACUUUCAUUGAAUGAAGAUAGAUUAUGGAACCUAUUAGCUAAUGAAGUGGUGGAUACUAGAAUCACAAGUAAAGAGCCUGGUAUUCUGUGCAAAUUGGACAUACUUUCAGAAAGCUUAUGGACAAAUUAAUUGGAAUCAUCUAUUAGAAAUUUUGAGGCACGUGGGUUUCGGUGGUCGGAUAAAUUGGAUAAGAUAUUACAUUAGCAGGGUCAGGUUAUCAAUCCUUGUCAAUGAUUCCCCAGCUGUGUUUUCCCUUCCUAGAGGGGUUUAAGACGGUGAUCCACGACUCCAUUCUUAUUCAGACUAGCCAUGGAAGGAAUUCAUGAUAUGCUAAAGAAGGCUCAGGAAAUAAGGGAGUUCAAGGUGAGUAAAAAGAGUCACAUUUAAAAUAUGCAGAUGAAACACUAGUAUUUUGUGAAUUCAACAAUGAUCAAUUAAGAUUAGUUAGGGUUAUUUUUGUUCUCUUUGAUGCUACAUCGGGUUUAGACAUAAACUGGACCAAAAGCUUUAUAAAUCCAGUAAAUGCUGUAAACCAGAUCCAAUCUCAGCCUGCAAUUCUUGGUGGAAGAAUAGGGACUUUUCCAACUGUGUAUUUAGGAAUUCCACUGGGAACCAAAAGAAAUAUGUUAAGAGAAAUGUGAAAAAUUAUAGCCAGCUGGAAAAGUCAAUAGCUUUCCCUAGGUGGAAAAUUAAUCUAAAUCAGUUUUGUCCUUGAUGCUAUGCCUACCGGCUACCAAGUUGAUGUCAAUGAUUCCUAUCCCAAUAAAUGUGAUCAAGGAAACCUCUCAGAAGAAAUUUCUUUUGAGAAGGAACCAGUGCAAAGAAGAAGAUAUAUCUGGUGAAAUGUGACCAUCUCAUGGACAGCAAGGGAGAGGGGAUGUGGGCAUCAAGAACUUGAAGGUUCAAAAUCAGAGCAUACUGAUGAAGAGAUUAUGGAGAUUUGCACUGAUGAACAAUCAUUGUGGAAGGAGGUACUCCUAGAAAAGUAUGACAGAUAGAAGAUGGACAGUUAAAAAUAUAAAUGGUCCAUCUGGUAUAAGACUGUGGAAGACCAUUAGAAACACCUUGCCCAAGUUCAAGGAGAAGACAUUAAUCAAAUGGGUAAUGGCAUGAAGACUAUUUACUGGAAGGAUAUUUAGUUGAAUCAAGGCCUUUUGAAACAGGUGUUUCCAGUGAUGCACCUUUUAAUACAACAGGAGGCAACAAUAGAUGCUUUAUGGAGCAAUCAAGGAUGGAACCCACUUUAAGAAAGCCAUUAAAUGACUGGAAAAUCGAUAAGUUGGUUGAAUUAUUUAAGACUCUUGAACAGUUCAAGGAACUUUCUUCUUAAGAGGAUAGCUUAAGGUGGAGCGAGGAGAAGCAAGAAAAGUUCAGUGCGAAUACAGUAUAUAAGGAGUUCAACACUUCCAACAAUCAAAUUGAAUGCUGGCCAUGGAAGAUGAUUUGGAAGGUGAAAAUACCUUACAAGGUGGCAUGCUUCAUCUGGCUACUAGCUAGAGAAUCAGUUCUCACUCAGAAUAAUAUCUUCAGGAGAGGUUAUCAGUUGUGCUCUAGAUGUUACCUAUGUGGAAGUCGAGACAAUCAGUCAUCUCUUUUUACAUUGCAAACUAUGGAGGAUGUUUAUCAGCCUAAGGGUACUAGUUGGAGUAUGCCUAGGAACAUAGUGGAUCUUCUAGCAUGCUGGAAUAAAGAAGGUAUCAACUCAAUCCAGAAGGACAGAUGGAAGGUUGACCCAGCUUGCAUAUGGUGGACAGUCUUGUCAUAUCCAGAAGAUAAAAAUGAAGUGCCAGGUCCUGUUGCAUUUUUGGUGCAAAUGAGUCUGCUUAGGAACUCAUGAAUCUAUUUUUGAUGUUCUAGACUCCGCGUAGAUGAUAGUGGAACUGUGUAUUUUGUCUUUAUUAAGAUAAAACCAUAGCAAUCAAGUUCCGAAAUCAUUUUAGGUUUCUGAUUUAGACGAAAAGAUGCAGUUUUAUGUUCUCUGGAGCUAAUUUUCUUAUACGAAACUUUUAGUCACGUGUUCAUCAAAAAUUCAUCUGCAAUGUUCUCUAACAAUUAAUUUAUCAGUUUACCAACUAUAUUUGAUGCUUAGUACUGUUCCCCUUAAAAGAAAGAACUUGUGGGGAGUGAGCACACGUCUUAGCACCGACAGAGCUAUGUCUGCUGCAGAGAUUUCAAAAAUUGGAUUGGAAAAAUAUGCACAAACUCAACCAAUAAAUGAGAUACACAGGAGAUAAAAAAUGAGAUGCAACUAGGGAUGUUUCUUUGAGACAUACCUGUUCAGGCUUGAUCCCACAUGUUUCACGAGUACUUUUUUCCAAAUAAUCCCUGGCUAUGUGCAUUUUCUCAUCAGUAAUGUAACCAGCGAUUGCAAUUACCUCCAUUCUAUCCAGAAGAGGAUUAGGUAUCAUUUCUACGACAUUGGCUGUGCAGACAAACAAAACCUGCAGUCACAAAAAGGAAAAAUGAGUGUUAACAUGAUUUCGCAUUCGAAAAAGUAAUGCAGAUUGUUGACCCUUUUUAAGAUACAAAGGAAUAGGUAACUGUAUUACACAAAUAGGAUAGGAAAAACGGCUUGGUGGUUUGAAGGAACUUGAAGGCGUCAAAGAUCCGAUUUGUUUUCCAUUUUUGGCACAAAAGGGAUUUAAUAAUCGUAAUUAUCCUUUGGAUAAGUACACUAACCUUGAGGUUGAAUUUUAUAAGCUCCUUCAGGUUCAUACAUAACUAAAAAGGGCAGUCCGGUGCAUUAAAGCUCACGCUAUGCGCAGGGUUCGGGGAGGGCCCCACCACAAAGGUGUACUGUAUGCAGUAUUACCUUGCAUUUCUGCAGAGGCUGUUUCCAACAUCUAUAAUUCAACAUAAGAACAUAUAUAAUUCAAGGUUUUGAACUAGCCUCGCUACCAUAACCAAGUCAGACCACAACACUACCAAAAUAAUAGAAAGAUGCUUUUAUUUUAACUCUGCCACUUGGAAAUAUAACACAAAUAUUUACCAUCACAAAGACAUAGGAGGGUCGAGAGGUCGAUGAUUAGGCCUACCUCCACCUCUCUUCAAACCCACCAUAGCCAACCUCUUAAACCUAGGACAUUUGUGCGUCUUUUCUUAACAUACCUAAAUCAUCUCAGCCUCACCUCCCUCAUCUUGUCCACCACAGAGGCCUUGUCUAGGAUAUCUUCGCUCCUAAUCCUAUCUCCUAGUGUGCCUACACAUCCGUCUCAACAUCCUCAUUUCCUCUACUUUCAUCUUCUGGACAUGAGUUCUUGAUUGGCCGACACUAAGUAAACUUCAAUUAGUUCAAUAAAUAGAUAAUGUCAUGGGUCGAUAUUUUCUUUGAAUCAACGACACACAAAUAGCAUGUGUGGAGUCCGUAGUCCCUCCUGAUUAUUGGCCAGCCUAUCUAAUUUCCAAGGUUUUUCGGCAUAAUUUGAUGCCUAUGCCGAAGCUUACCUUCAAGGCUUGCUUCAACUGCGUGGCUUGUUUAAUCAUUGAUGUCGGUUACCACAGCCCUGACAUGCUAUCUACUUUUGUGGCACAUCUUCAUAUGUUUGAUGUUGUCUAUGCGUGCUCCCGAGAUUAGCUACGGUCAUACUAGUCCCUCGCCUAGGCGUAAGCAACAAUAUCACAUGCACAAUCCUAUUUGCAAGCUUGACACUUGCCUUGUGCAAGCACAUGUGGCUUACAAUUAGCCUGAGUAAGGCAACAUCCAGUCCUUGGCCUUGGUCAUAUAUGUCUACCAUACCAUGCCUUCUGUUGUCUCAUGGUAUUACAAACAUAAACCCACACAACACACAUUUUCAUCUCGCAUAGUGCAACAUCACCCCACAAUAGCACGUCUAGGUCAACGGACCGAUGCUUGCCUUGAACCCAAGCAAAGCACACAAUUCAGCUCACGAGGAUCUAGAGAGAGUCCCUCGAUCACUCAAUCAGCACGAAGGCCUUAUUCCAUCACAAAGGUUGCCCCCCGGGCCUAAUUGGUUCAAAUAUCAAGCCUCCAACAGUUAUUCGACACACAAUGUUGCCCUAUCCACGAGUCGUCCAAAUAGUUCCCAAACUCAUAUGGAUACCUUAGACACUCCCAAGAGAUGCCCAUGUAGGCCCUUGAGGCUCCCUCUCAAAGCAGCACACUUAGGGCGAUUCACUGUAAUACACUCGGGAGGACUGGUAGGUUGUCACCAUGUGUAGCCCUUUAUAUAUGCUUUAAAAAAAAUAAAACAUGUGUCAAGAGUAGACAUGUUUAUGCUCGACAAUCAUAAUAGGCCUCUCUGAUAAGAUCAAAACUCCAAACCAGAAGUCGUUUGUAACGAACCACUCCUCUUGACUUCCUUCGCAAGACCAUGAAGAUUCAUCCAAUCCCAUCACUCAUGGAAUGAGUUAUAGACUAAGUCAAGACCAUAGGUAAACAAACUCUAAAUGACUCCACACUUGGUAAGAAUAUAUAUGAACAGUCUAGGAACAAGGCUUUCACCUGAAAUCCCUAGAUUCCAACUUUAACUCGAGAACAUACGGCACUAACACUCAUUGUUGCACGCAAACAUCGCUCAUAGGCUAGACUGUCGGGUUCCUCCCAAGUCCUUGUCAAACACCUUUGGCAUUCUUAGGGCAUGCCAUACAACAUCUGUGUAUAUGGUCGUUGCCUCUUGCCAUGCCCCUUUUCCCAAUACUCCUACUUUAGCCCCUCGUCAGCUCAUGCCACCUAAAUAGUUGACACUCGUGUGGCCCAUCGGGGAGCACUGCAAUGCUGGUGUUUAGCACCCAAUGAUUUGGGGCGUUACAGGUAAACUAAUUGCUAAUGCUCAAAGGAUGUUACUCUAACUAUCGAAAACUGAAAGGGGUAUGGAACUGUAUCCCUCAUUAGAAAAGUCAUCAAAGAUACUUCCAACAAACAGUAGGAAAGCUCAAUGCAUCAACUUUUUUCCUAUCGAACAGCCACCAAAAAACCAUUGCCAAAGAGAUCUAGUUUUUCUCAAAUCUCAACUAUCAAGAGAACAAUAUUCCACUUAGCCUAAUAAUAAUAGAGUCGUAAGGAUAGAAAUAGAGGUAGCAGAGAUGUGAAACAACAUACUUCCAAUAACCUUUGAUUAUCUAUCUAUAUAGAAUAGGAGAGGCAUAAGCAUUGUUAGGAUGACAAGUCUCAUCACAGUAAAAUUCUUAUUUCAAAAUUCAAAAACAAAUGCUAAUUCAUUAUUUAAUUAAGAGGCUCCUAUUUAAUUUUUUUUAUUUUUAUGAAUUUUGACCGCGAUAUUUAUGGAUUUUGGCUAUUUUAAGACAAUUUAAUAAUCUAUCUAAAAAGAUUAUAUUUAAAUUAAAGGAUAAAACCUUAUAAAAUAAAUUAUCUGAAUUUGAUUUGACAAAUUAACACAUUUGUUUAAAAUGAAAAACAAAAUACAAAAAUAAGAAGAGAAAAGACAAAUAGAGAAAAUAAGGAAAUAGAAAUACUAAAAGGUAAAACUAACGCUAGUGCAUGUCGCUUAAUUACCCCAAUUUCCCCCACUCACAAACACAAACGCAGUUUUGAACUUUCUUUUAAAAAUUAAAAAAAAAUCACCAGAACAUGUCUUUUGGCUCCUUUUAUAGCAAAAUUGUUUUUCAGAAAACUAUAAAAAAAAAAAAAUGAGACAGGCAUUCAGUAACCCCCUCCCCCCACCCCCCAAAUUAUGGUUAAAGUUUCUACGACACACUCCAACUGCACAGGGAUCCUAUUACCACCUGAACUUAAUUUUAACAUAUUUUUGUCACUCUUUUGUGCUGGCGUGACACCUUCAUUACAUUAAAAUGAGGCUCACGUCAAAGGUAUCAUGUUAACUAAAAAGAUUGACAAAAUUACGCUAAAAGUUAAUUUUUUUUUUUUUGGGGGGGGGGGGGGGGGGGACACCGGAUUAGGGGUGANNNNNNNNNNNNNNNNNNNNNNNNNNNGGGGGGGGGGAGGACCCCGUGAAGUUAGAGUGUGCCGUAGCAAAUUUGGUCAUAGUUCAAGAGUGUACUGAAUGCUUUACUCAAAAAAAAUAAAAAAAACACGUGUUUUGGGAUCCCUUUUUUUGUACCCUUUAACACAAAGUUUUUAUCUAAUGUUUUUACUUUAUUAAAUUUGUAUUUAUCCAACUAAUAUUAAGCAGUUUAAGUUUUGAAUUUGAAAUUACUUAUAAAUGUUCUUCACAGUUAAAACUUUAUCAUGUUUAUCAUUAUCGUGACACAAUUACUUAAAAAAAAAAUUUAACCAUUAAAGUUUUCCAAAUGUUUUUAAUGAGUAGGACAAUGUAAAGAUCCAGAAUCAAGGAUUAAUAAUUUUGCAAAACAAACAAGUUAACGAUGAUGAUUUUGUUAUGAUAAAUCUAACAUAUAUUUUUUUUUCUUCGUUUUACUUCAUUCAUGUUUUGUCUUUCUCUUAAGAUCAUGAAGAUAAUAAACCACAUCAAUGGGGGGGAGGUUCAGAAAAAUAUUGAAUCUGCCAAGUAAAAAGGAAAAUGAGGAAGAAAUUGAUUACUUCCCCUCUCAAAUAUAUUCAAUUUGUACUUAGGUAUGCAUUGUUUCUUUGUCGACUUUCAAGUUUAGAUGGUCUUAUAUUUCUCUUUUUGCUUUGAUUUUCAGUAUUUGAUGUGAACUUAUCAAGUCAUGCUCUUAAAUUUUGAAGGUUCAUCAGCAGUAUGUGACUAAAUUGAGGCAGUAAGUUAUAAUUUUUUUUUUGAUAUCCGUGGUGUCCAAGUCAGCUUGCGCGUACCUCGACUAAUUUCACGGGAUACUUGCCACCUUGCACCAACAACAGGUACUGGGUAACUCUGUCCUCCAAGGCU
rnacentral:lncRNA from 1 species